AUGAACGCUGGCGGCGUGCCUAAUACAUGCAAGUCGAGCGAACAGACGAGGAGCUUGCUCCUCUGACGUUAGCGGCGGACGGGUGAGUAACACGUGGAUAACCUACCUAUAAGACUGGGAUAACUUCGGGAAACCGGAGCUAAUACCGGAUAAUAUAUUGAACCGCAUGGUUCAAUAGGGAAAGACGGUUUUGCUGUCACUUAUAGAUGGAUCCGCGCCGCAUUAGCUAGUUGGUAAGGUAACGGCUUACCAAGGCAACGAUGCGUAGCCGACCUGAGAGGGUGAUCGGCCACACUGGAACUGAGACACGGUCCAGACUCCUACGGGAGGCAGCAGUAGGGAAUCUUCCGCAAUGGGCGAAAGCCUGACGGAGCAACGCCGCGUGAGUGAUGAAGGUCUUCGGAUCGUAAAACUCUGUUAUUAGGGAAGAACAAAUGUGUAAGUAACUAUGCACGUCUUGACGGUACCUAAUCAGAAAGCCACGGCUAACUACGUG
rnacentral:rRNA from 1 species